rnacentral:tRNA from 1 species
GCACCCGUAGCUCAGCCGGUUAGAGCACUUCGCUUACCGCGAAGGGGUCGUCCGUUCGCAUCGGACCGGGAGUA